UACGUAGGGCGCAAGCGUUGUCCGGAAUUAUUGGGCGUAAAGAGCUCGUAGGCGGCCUGUUGCGUCCGCUGUGAAAUCCCGGGGCUCAACCCCGGAACUGCACUGGAUACUGCUUUGCUAGAGUACUGGAGAGGGAACUGGAAUUUACGGUGUAGCAGUGAAAUGCAUAGAUAUCGUAAGGAAGACCAGUGGCGAAGGCGAGUUCCU
rnacentral:rRNA from 1 species